GCUGGGUGCGGUGGUGCAAGCCUGUAAUCCAAGCAGCUUGGGAGGCUGAGACAGGAAGAUCAAGGGUUCAAAGUCAGCUUCAGCAACAAGGAGGCGCUGAGCAACUCAGUGAGACCCUGUCUCUA
rnacentral:sRNA from 1 species